GCGUAACUUCCGCCAAUUUCGCCGAGAUAGCUUCCACAGCUGUCAGAUUACUGCCGAGAAUCGAGGUGUCCUCGGCAUCGGACAUCCUAAGAGAGAUGGAUAUUUAUUAGUCGAAUCGAUAUUCUAUAAAUAGACAUGUUUUUCCUGGACCUCUAAAAAAAUCCCAGAAGGUUUCUAGAUAUCUGCCUGUCAAUUGGCAAUAUACGAGCCACAUGACUAUGUGUCAUGACUAUGGAUUAAAGCAACAGGAGAAUAAGGAAGAUUAACGAAAAUAAAAAUUACAGGAGCUAUCUCGACGAGAGCCAACCAUGGACUGACACACCGUCUCUGUUAAACACGUAGGCGUUCGAGCAAACGUAUUACCGGUCUCACUAGUUCUACUUAUUUUUUUUAUCCCAGUUAUAGUUAAAAAAAUAAAUAAAUGCAAAAAAAGUUUAAC